GAUGAACGCUGGCGGCGUGCUUAACACAUGCAAGUCGAACGAAGCACUUUAUUUGAUUUCCUUCGGGGCUGAUUAUUUUGUGACUGAGUGGCGGACGGGUGAGUAACGCGUGGGUAACCUGCCUUGUACAGGGGGAUAACAGUUGGAAACGGCUGCUAAUACCGCAUAAGCGCACAGCAUCGCAUGAUGCAGGGUGAAAAACUCCGGUGGUAUAAGAUGGACCCGCGUUGGAUUAGCUAGUUGGUGAGGUAACGGCCCACCAAGGCGACGAUCCAUAGCCGACCUGAGAGGGUGACCGGCCACAUUGGGACUGAGACACGGUCCAAACUCCUACGGGAGGCAGCAGUGGGGAAUAUUGCAAAAUGGGCGAAAGCCUGAUGCAGCGACGCCGCGUGAGCGAAGAAGUAUUUCGGGAUGUAAAGCUCUGUCAGCAGGGAAGAUAAUGACGGUACCUGACGAAGAAGCACCGGCUAAAUACGUG
rnacentral:rRNA from 1 species